rnacentral:pre_miRNA from 1 species
CACUGCUGUAAUGUGUUCCACUGCUGUAAUGUCAGCAGUGGAACACAUUACAACAGUG